GAUGAAGAACGUAGCAAAAUGCGAUAAGUAAUGUGAAUUGCAGAAUUCAGUGAAUCAUCGAAUCUUUGAACGCACAUUGCGCCCGCUGGUAUUCCGGCGGGCAUGCCUGUUCGAGCGUCAUUUCAACCCUCAAGCCCCCGGGUUUGGUGUUGGGGAUCGGCUCUGCCCUUCUGGGCGGUGCCGCCCCCGAAAUACAUUGGCGGUCUCGCUGCAGCCUCCAUUGCGUAGUAGCUAACACCUCGCAACUGGAACGCGGCGCGGCCAUGCCGCAAAACCCCAACUUCUGAAUGUUGACCUCGGAUCAGGUAGGAAUACCCGCUGAACUUAAGCAUAUCAAUAAGCGGAGGA
rnacentral:misc_RNA from 1 species